GCACGCACCUUUCCUUCUGGUUUUCGGACAGGACGUUUACUUUGAAAAAAUUAGAGUGUUCAAAGCAGGCAAUUUGCUCGAAUAUAUUAGCAUGGAAUAAGGGAAUAGGACAAUGGUUCUAUUUCGUUGGUUUUCAGUACCAUUGUAAUGAUUAAUAGGGACGGACGGGGGCAUCAGUAUUCCGUAGUCAGAGGUGAAAUUCUUGGAUUUACGGAAGACUAACUACUGCGAAAGCAUUUGCCAAGCACGUUUUCAUUAAUCAAGAACGAAAGUUAGGGGAUCGAAGAUGAUCAGAUACCGUCGUAGUCUUAACCAUAAACUAUGCCGACUAGGGAUCAGGCGUGCUUCAAUUUGACGCGCUCGGCACCUUACGAGAAAUCAAGGUCUUUGGGUUCUGGGGGGAGUAUGGUCGCAAGGCUGAAACUUAAAGGAAUUGACGGAAGGGCACCACCAGGAGUGGAGCCUGCGGCUUAAUUUGACUCAGCACGGGGAAACUCACCAGGUCCAGACACAAUAAGGAUUGACAGAUUGAGAGCUCUUUCUUGAUUUUGUGGGUGGUGGUGCAUGGCCGUUCUUAGUUGGUGGAGUGAUUUGUCUGCUUAAUUGCGAUAACGAACGAGACCUUAACUUUUAAAUAGGCACGCUAGCAUUUGCUGGUGCUGCCUUCUUAAAAGGACUAUCUAUGUCAAGUAGAUGGAAGUUUGAGGCAAUAACAGGUCUGUGAUGCCCUUAGACGUUCUGGGCCGCACGCGCGCUACACUGACGGAGCCAGCGAGUCUACCUUGGCCGAGAGGCCCGGGAAAUCUUGUGAAACUCCGUCGUGCUGGGGAUAGAGCAUUGCAAUUUUUGCUCUUCAACGAGGAAUUCCUAGUAAGCGCAAGUCAUCAGCUUGCGUUGAUUACGUCCCUGCCCUUUGUACACACCGCCCGUCGCU
rnacentral:rRNA from 1 species